CCUACGGGUGGCAGCAGUGGGGAAUAUUGCGCAAUGGGCGAAAGCCUGACGCAGCGACGCCGCGUGAGGGAUGAAGGUCUUCGGAUCGUAAACCGCUGUCAGCAGGGAAGAACGGUUACUGUGCUAAUCAGCAGUGAAUUGACGGUACCUGCAAAGGAAGCACCGGCUAACUCGGUGCCAGCAGCCGCGGUAAUACGUAGGGUGCGAGCGUUAUCCGGAAUUAUUGGGCGUAAAGCGUUCGUAGGCGGUUGGUUAAGUCAAGGGUGAAAUCCCGGGGCUCACCUGGGGAAUGCCUUUGGAACUAGCAAACUGGAGUUUGUGAGAGGAUAGUGGAAUUCCAGGUGAAGGGGUGAAAUCCGUAGAUAUCUGGAAGAACAUCAGUGGCGAAGG
rnacentral:rRNA from 1 species